rnacentral:rRNA from 1 species
CACAUGACUCUCGGCAACGGAUAUCUCGGCUCUUGCAUCGAUGAAGAACGUAGCAAAAUGCGAUACCUGGUGUGAAUUGCAGAAUCCCGUGAACCAUCGAGUUUUUGAACGCAAGUUGCGCCUGAGGCCUUUUGGUCGAGGGCACGUCUGCCUGGGCGUCACGU